UGUAGCUCAGUGGUAGAGCACAUGUUUUAAAGCAUGAGAUAUUGGGUUCUAUCCCUAGCA
rnacentral:tRNA from 1 species